ACGACAAAGAACAAGAAUCACAGUUCCACAUAACGAAAUAUAUUCCCCAUUCGCCCCCGGACUCUACUAAGAGGGAGUAGAUUCUCUUUUUCUAUUUUUUUACACAAUAAAAAAAUAAAUAAAUAAAUAACACAAAGGAAUUUAUGUUUUUGACUGUUCUGUGUAGAGUCUAGGUUACCACUACAUCGUCAUAGUUGUGAUCAACCGAGUAUAAACCUUUACCUCUAUAUAAACUCUUUAACCAAAAAUUAAAACUCACUCACUCUCUCUCUUUCUCUCUCUAUCUCUCUCUCUCUCUCUCACACACAGACAAACUCGAAAAUUCAUAUAAGAUAUAUAGAAAAACAGAGAAGAAAGAGAAAAGAAGAAUGGCAGCAGAUUUAACGUUUCGGGGUGUACUUGAUGGAAGCUUGUCUAUGGGUGAAAUGGACAUCGAGCGGAGGCCAUAUCAUCGUGACUGCAAAUGUGCAUUGCACGAAAUUAAAGGCAGAUGUUUGCAUAGUACGGGGAAUAUUCCGUUUCCGAAAAGAGAAUUUAGAAGCAAAUGUUCCUUGUCACUAUCAUCUUCCAAUAUCUCUUCUCAAUCUUCGUAUCUUCAUAUUUGUAAAAAAAUAGAUUCUAGUUGCAGUAGGGUGCAAUGUCAAAACUCAGCAGAUACAAAGCUCGGCUGAUUUUUUUUUCCCGGUUUAAGGUCUUUUGUCACUCCUCUAGGCAUAUGCAGGACUCGAGGAAGUGUAAAUUAGUCAUUAGUUAAUGAAAUUUCUUCUCAAACGCAUCUCGGAACUUGAUUAUUACAUAGAACAGAGUUACCAGUUUAAUAGCAAUAACAGGUAUUAGUAUGAAAAUAAUUAUUAAAAAAAACUCCAAUACAGUUCAAUGUGAUAACAGACAAAUUCGUUUUUCGUACAAUGUUCACAAAAGAUUCUUCAGAAAAGGUGAUAACAAAACAAAAGACUAAGACUAUUUAAAUAUAAAGUUAUGCUGUUGGUCCAACCUAUGAAUUAGUUAACUAUAUCAUUUAUAUCAAGGUUCUCUUUAGUCAAAGAUUCUCUAAUCUUUGCAAAUAUCUUAAUUCCAAAAAAUACAAUGCAAAACUAACUGAUCCUACAGUGUGAUGCUUGGUGUGAAAAAUAUGCCUCUAUUCGACUAAUCUGACUUCCUAUAAGAGAUAAUCCGGUAAAUCAAUAUUGAAGUAUUGCUUGAUUACUAGUACGUAUAAACAUUGAAAAGAACCGGUAUUCUGAUUUUUAAAAAAAAAUUAAUUCGCCGUUUUUCCAAACGCCAUUCAUAAAUUGGAUAGCUAAUGUUUUCGACAUCAUGAAAAAAAACAAUUAAAAAAUAAAAAGACCCUAAUGUACUGCAGUAUUUCUUGUUAUCUCAUAUGUGGGGCCGUGCGUGACAAAUCAAGUGAAGACACAACAAAGAACAAGAACCUUAAUCCCCACACGAACUAAUAUAUUCCCCAAUGUACCGUAACCUUAUUCGCCCGGACAAAACUAAGAGAGUAGAUUCUCUUCAGGAGUUUUAAACAAAAAACAGAGGAAAUUGUGAUUCCUUGAUUCCUUUGACUUACCUUUGAUGACAGCUUGUUUUUGUCUUGCUCGUGUUUAGAUUUCCAAGACAAGAACAAGAUAACUUCAUAGUUGAAAAAAUAUUCUCUAGGACUUUACACACAACACUGAAGCUAAUUGUUCCGUCGAGUCUAGGUUACCACUACAUCGUCAUAGUUCUAAUCUAACGAGUAUAAACCUUACCUGUAUAUAAACUCUUGAUGAAAAAUGCAAACUCACUCACUCACUCAGUCAUACACACACACACACACACACACACACUUGAAAAAACACAAUAGAUAUAUAGAAAACGAGAGAAGAAAGAGAAGAGAAGAAUGGCAACCGGAGCAGCAGAUUUAAUGUUUCGAUGUGUGUUUGACGGAAGCUUGUCUAUGGGUGACAUGGACAUCGAGCGGAGGCCAUAUCAUCGUGACUGCAAAUGUGCUUUGCAUGAAACUAAAGGAACGUGCUCGCAUAGUAAUGGGAAUAUUUCGUUCCCGAAGAGAGAAUUUAAGAGCAAAUGUUCCUUGUCCCUAUCAUCUUCCAAUAUCUCUUUUCAAUCUUCUUAUCUUCAUAUUUCGAAAAAAAUAGAUUCUAGUUGCAGCAUAGUGCAAUGUCAAAACUCAGCAGAUAGAAAGCCUGUUUAAUUUCUUUGUAUUUUUUUCUCAGCUUUUAAGUUCUUUUGGCACUCCUUCAGACAUAUGUAGUACUCGAGGAAGUGAAAAUUAGGAUAUUAGUUAAUGAAAUUUAUUCUCAAACACAUUUCGGAACUUGCUCUCGCAUUACUCCGUUUGACGAUCUUUUCUGUCAAAAUUCAGUAGCUUAAGUAUAUACACAACUCUUCUAUAUACGAUCUUUAGUCGAUAUUAAUGUAUCACUAUUUCACAAAAGUCAUUUAAAACUUGUUCUCACCCUUGGUGCUCAAUUUGCUGUGAGCUGAUUCUUUGCAUCCUCGCAAGAAUGAUAUUCAAAUAAACUAUGAAUGAGACUAAUGUUUCCUCAAAGAACUCAAAAAAUAAUACGACAAAAUGUGCCUGAUUCUUCUAACUACUAUUGCACUGAUUUCUUGAUAUUAUAAAAUUAAACAAGUAAUAAACUAUAGAAAACACGAGACUAUCUGGCUGCUAAAAUGACAUAAAUAACAAUGCCAAAGCCUACUUCUUGAAUAUAAAGAUUCUAGAUGCGAAAGUUCGUUAUUUAAGUCCCCGAGGUAGCCAAGUAUAUUAUAUACAAGCAUAUAUAUAUAUGCUUUCAGAAUGGCUGUGUCUGCUUGUGCUUGUAAUUAUUGACUACCUUCUUGUACUACACAAACAGUUGUCACUUGGAAUAUCUUCCCCAAAUACUGUGAAUUUUUUUAACUUUCUUGAUAGUUAGAUAGAUCGAUUUGUUUUAGAAUUGAGUGAAAAAUAGUUUAAUUAACAGAAACAUUUAUCGUAGGACUAGUUUCCUGGUCGUAUGAAGAGUAAAACAAGAAGCAUUACACGCACACAUAUAUAUAUAUAUAUACAAAUAUUCCUUUCAUUGGAAUCAACUAUGCAUAAUAAUCUGAAGUACUCCAAAACAAAGGUUAAAAAAACAGGUGAUCGUCUCAUUCUUGAGCUUUCCUCUAAAUAUUGUGUCUUUAUUACCCAUAUCUUCCGGGCCCCACGCUACACGGAUUUCAGAUUUUCCCAAUGAAAUAUUGUUUUCAUCUAACUCAGAUAACAUGUACUGUAUUCCCAUAGUUUAACUAACUCAAGGCUCAAACUCCCUUGAAUUUUACGGAGAAAAAAAUAAAUAAAAAA